AUUGAACGCUGGCGGCAGGCCUAACACAUGCAAGUCGAGCGAGCGGCGGACGGGUGCGUAAUGUCUGGGAAACUGCCUGUUGGCGGGGGAUAACUACGGGAAACGGUAGCUAAUACCGUAUACCAUCAGAUGUGCCCAGAUGGGAUUAGCUAGUAGGUGGGGUAAUGGCCCACCUAGGCGACGAGCCCUAGCCGGUCUGAGAGGCUGACAAGCCACACUGGAACUGAGACACGGUCCAGACUCCUACGGGAGGCAGCAGUGGGGAAUAUUGCACAAUGGGCGAAAGCCUGAUCCAGCCAUGCCGCGUGUGUGAAGAAGGCCUUCGGGUUGUAAAGCACUUUCAGCGGAGAGGCGGUACCCGCAGAAGAAGCACCGGCUAACUCCGUGCCAGCAGCCGCGGUAAUUC
rnacentral:rRNA from 1 species